GUGGGAUUAGCACAGUGGUAGUUGUAGCGGAUUGCAACGAAAGUAGCAUCACAUCCGCGGGUCCCGUGUUCGAUCCACGGAUCCCACU